CGUUGUAUCUUGUGCAAACCAAAACCCCAGGAAAUAUUGGCGUUCAAGAACAGUCCGUCAAACCUCAGGAAACACAUUAAGAGAAAGCACGAGAGAUACCUGGAGAAGUACACCAAGCUAGCUAUUCAGAAAAGGAAGCAUGAGGAAGAUCCGAAUGACCAAGCAACACCCAAGCAGCUGAAACUGUGGGAUACACCUCGUGUAACACAGAAAGAAUUGACAAAGCAACUACAGAGAUGAAAGAGAAUCUCAAGGCGGCGAUGCAUGAUGUGGAGUUCAUAGGGACCACCACUGACUGCUGGACAGCAAACAGAAAGGGCUUCAUC